UACGAAGGGGGCUAGCGUUGUUCGGAUUUACUGGGCGUAAAGCGCGCGUAGGCGGAUUCUUAAGUCAGUGGUGAAAUCCCGGGGCUCAACCUCGGAACUGCCCUUGAUACUGGGAAUCUCGAGUUCGGGAGAGGUGAGUGGAACUGCGAGUGUAGAGGUGAAAUUCGUAGAUAUUCGCAAGAACACCAGUGGCGAAGGCGGCUCACUGGCCCGAUACUGACGCUGAGGCGCGAAAGCGUGGGGAGCAAACAGG
rnacentral:rRNA from 1 species